GACGAACGCUGGCGGCGUGCUUAACACAUGCAAGUCGAGCGGAAAGGCCCUGCUUUUGUGGGGUGCUCGAGUGGCGAACGGGUGAGUAACACGUGAGUAACCUGCCCUUGACUUUGGGAUAACUUCAGGAAACUGGGGCUAAUACCGGAUAGGAGCUCCUGCUGCAUGGUGGGGGUUGGAAAGUUUCGGCGGUUGGGGAUGGACUCGCGGCUUAUCAGCUUGUUGGUGGGGUAGUGGCUUACCAAGGCUUUGACGGGUAGCCGGCCUGAGAGGGUGACCGGCCACAUUGGGACUGCGAUACGGCCCAGACUCCUACGGGAGGCAGCAGUGGGGAAUAUUGCACAAUGGGCGGAAGCCUGAUGCAGCAACGCCGCGUGCGGGAUGACGGCCUUCGGGUUGUAAACCGCUUUCGCCUGUGACGAAGCGUGAGUGACGGUAAUGGGUAAAGAAGCACCGGCUAACUACGUG
rnacentral:rRNA from 1 species